rfam:Galerina marginata CBS 339.88 GALMAscaffold_8_Cont306, whole genome shotgun sequence.
GCAUUGAUGGUGUAGCGGUAACAUUGGGUCUUCCCAUGGCCUAGCUCCGGGUUCGACUCCCGGUCAAUGCA